AAUCAACGCUGGCGGCGUGCCUCAGACAUGCAAGUCGAACGCGAAAGUUCCCUUCGGGGGAUGAGUAGAGUGGCGCACGGGUGAGUAACACGUAGGUAAUCUACCUUUGGAUGGGGAAUAACAACCGGAAACGGUUGCUAAUACCGCAUAAUGCAGCGGCACCUAAUGGUGACAGUUGUUAAAGCGGGGGAUCGAAAGACCUCGCGUCUGAAGAGGAGCCUGCGGCGGAUUAGCUAGNGGUAAGGUAACGGCUUACCAAGGCGACGAUCCGUAGCCGGCCUGAGAGGAUGAUCAGCCACACUGGAACUGAGACACGGUCCAGACUCCUACGGGAGGCAGCAGUGGGGAAUUUUGGACAAUGGGGGCAACCCUGAUCCAGCCAUUCCGCGUGAGUGAAGAAGGCCUGGUGUAAG
rnacentral:rRNA from 1 species